UAGGGAAUCUUCGGCAAUGGGGGGAACCCUGACCGAGCAACGCCGCGUGAGUGAAGAAGGUUUUCGGAUCGUAAAGCUCUGUUGUUAAGGAAGAACGAGUGUGAGAAUGGAAAGUUCAUACUGUGACGGUACUUAACCAGAAAGGGACGGCUAACUACGUGCCAGCAGCCGCGGUAAUACGUAGGUCCCGAGCGUUGUCCGGAUUUAUUGAGCGUAAAGCGAGCGCAGGCGGUUAGAUAAGUCUGAAGUUAAAGGCAGUGGCUCAACCAUUGUAGGCUUUGGAAACUGUUUAACUUGAGUGCAGAAGGGGAGAGUGGAAUUCCAUGUGUAGCGGUGAAAUGCGUAGAUAUAUGGAGGAACACCGGUGGCGAAAGCGGCUCUCUGGUCUGUAACUGACGCUGAGGCUCGAAAGCGUGGGGAGCGAACAGG
rnacentral:rRNA from 1 species